rnacentral:rRNA from 1 species
GGGUCAGUAGGUUGGUCGUGCCACCGGUACGUACUGGUCUCACUGACUCCUCCUUCCUGAAGAACCGUAAUGCCAUUAAUUUGGUGUUGCGGGGAAAUAGGACUGUUACUUUGAAAAAAUUAGAGUGUUUAAAGCAAGCUAACGCUUGAAUACAUUAGCAUGGAAUAAUGAAAUAGGACGAUCGAUCCUAUUUUGUUGGUUUCUAGGAUUGACGUA